AUAAUUGCAGAGUAAUUUCCUGUUACACAGGAGACUUCACAUUUACCAGUGUGAUUAGUCUAGAGGAAACAGUAAUUUCCCCAUAAUUCCCUAGACUAUCCAAUCAAAAUGGCAACUUUGUGUCAGCUCUGAUCCCAUGUUAACAUGCCUACACGCUUUCACAUACUAUAGCCACCCGAUAAGUCACAUACGAGAUAUCAAGAGAGGAACAGAUACUGACGCCUCCUCACCCAUGACUGGCUGGAAUAAGUCUACCUCACCGUAUCGCUCUAGAACUCGCAUCCGGCAAUCUUCUGCAGCCAUCAGUCCAGUAGAGAAUGCACCGUGCACUGACCCUGGGUAGUUCAUACUGGUCGCCUCUCCUGCAAAGAAUAGGUUGUCCACAGGGAUCCUUAGCCUUUCAUACAGAUCAUGGGAUUUGCCUACUGUAUCAUAGCUAUAGGAACCGAGUGAGUUGAUAUCUGAGCCCCAGUGAGAAACAAGAUAAUGAAUCGGGGCAGAGGCUUCAGGUAGGAUCUUCUUGAGUUGCAAGAAAGCAAAAUUGGCCGCUGCUUCAUCAGACAUUUUCUCAAUGUCUUUGGCCAGCUGUCCAGCAGGCAUAUAAACAAGAACAGAAUGAC
rnacentral:misc_RNA from 1 species